CCUACGGGAGGCAGCAGUGGGGAAUAUUGCACAAUGGGGGGAACCCUGAUGCAGCAACGCCGCGUGAACGAAGAAGGCCCUAGGGUCGUAAAGUUCUGUCGUAUGGGAAGAAAAAAAUGACAGUACCAUACAAGAAAGCCCCGGCUAACUACGUGCCAGCAGCCGCGGUAAUACGUAGGGGGCAAGCGUUAUCCGGAAUUACUGGGCGUAAAGGGUGCGUAGGCGGCUAGUUAAGUCGAGGUUAAAAGGCAGUGGCUCAACUACUGUUGGGCCUUGAAACUAAUUAGCUUGAGUAUAGGAGAGGAAAGUGGAAUUCCCGGUGUAGCGGUGAAAUGCGUAGAUAUCGGGAGGAAUACCGGUGGCGAAGGCGACUUUCUGGACUAUAACUGACGCUGAGGCACGAAAGCGUGGGUAGCAAACAGGAUUAGAUACCCUGGUAGUCCACGCCGUAAACGAUGAACACUAGGUGUCGGGAGGAAUUUCGGUGCCGGCGCAAACGCAAUAAGUGUUCCGCCUGGGGAGUACGUUCGCAAGAAUAAAACUCAAAGGAAUUGACGGGGACCCGCACAAGUAGCGGAGCAUGUGGUUUAAUUCGAAGCAACGCGAAGAACCUUACCUAAGCUUGACAUGGGGAUGAAAAGCAAUGUAAAGUUGUAAUGAUACUUUCGGGUAUACAUCCCACACAGGUGGUGCAUGGUUGUCGUCAGCUCGUGUCGUGAGAUGUUGGGUUAAGUCCCGCAACGAGCGCAACCCCUAUUGAUAGUUGCCAGUACGUUAUGGUAGGCACUCUAUUAAGACAGUUAUGGAUAACAUAAAGGAAGGUGGGGAUGACGUCAAAUCAUCAUGCCCCUUAUGCUUAGGGCUACACACGUGCUACAAUGGCCGUAACAAAGAGAAGCGAAUCUGUGAAGAAGAGCAAACCUGAAAAAAACGGUCCAAGUUCGGAUUGUAGGCUGAAACUCGCCUACAUGAAGUCGGAGUUACUAGUAAUCGCAAAUCAGAAUGUUGCGGUGAAUGCGUUCCCGGGUCUUGUACACACCGCCCGUCACACCAUGGGAGCUGAGGGCACCCAAAGUCAGUGAUCUAACGAAAGAAGAAGCUGCCUAAGGUGAACUUAGUAACUGGGGUGAAGUCGUAACAAGGUAGCCGUAUCGGAAGGUGCGGCUG
rnacentral:rRNA from 1 species